rnacentral:rRNA from 1 species
UACGGGGGGGGCUAGCGUUGUUCGGAAUUACUGGGCGUAAAGCGUGCGCAGGCGGCUUUGCAAGACAGAUGUGAAAUCCCCGGGCUUAACCUGGGAACUGCAUUUGUGACUGCAUGGCUGGAGUGCGGCAGAGGGGGAUGGAAUUCCGCGUGUAGCAGUGAAAUGCGUAGAUAUGCGGAGGAACACCGAUGGCGAAGGCAAUCCCCUGGGCCUGCACUGACGCUCAUGCACGAAAGCGUGGGGAGCAAACAGG